AUCGACAUGAUUCCGGCGCCGACGAUGCUGUUGGCGACAUUGAAAACGGCGCCGGAGACGGACGCCGGCGGAGCCGCUGGUUUGGAUCCCGGUAGGAGGGGGACGUGGACUCCGGCCGACGGUGACAUGUCGGCGGGGAUGGAAUUGGGGAGGAUAACGAAAAAGGGUAAAAUACGCGCUUCACACGUUUCCCUCUAUUUAUAACAAAAGAAACGUGCGUCAAUUUAGGUGUCUUAACAAGUUUCCAUUACUUUGACCUUCAGUAAAUUUGAUGAAUCUGACCUACGUAUAUUUGUAAGUUCAGUCAGUACUUCUUGAAAAGUGAAUUUUGG
rnacentral:lncRNA from 1 species